rnacentral:rRNA from 1 species
AUUGAACGCUGGCGGCAUGCCUUACACAUGCAAGUCGAACGGCAGCACGGGAGCAAUCCUGGUGGCGAGUGGCGAACGGGUGAGUAAUACAUCGGAACGUGCCCAAUCGCGGGGGAUAACGCAGCGAAAGCUGUGCUAAUACCGCAUACGAUCUACGGAUGAAAGCAGGGGACCGCAAGGCCUUGCGCCAUUGGAGCGGCCGAUGGCGGAUUAGGUAGUUGGUGGGGUAAAGGCUCACCAAGCCAACGAUCUGUAGCUGGUCUGAGAGGACGACCAGCCACACUGGAACUGAGACACGGCCCAGACUCCUACGGGAGGCAGCAGUGGGGAAUUUUGGACAAUGGGCGCAAGCCUGAUCCAGCCAUGCCGCGUGCAGGAUGAAGGCCUUCGGGUUGUAAACUGCUUUUGUACGGAACGAAACGGCCUUUUCUAAUAAAGAGGGCUAAUGACGGUACCGUAAGAAUAAGCACCGGCUAACUACGUG